rnacentral:rRNA from 1 species
CAGGGACAGUGCCUGAUGGGUAGUUUAACUGGGGCGGUUGCCUCCCAAAGAGUAACGGAGGCGCCCAAAGGUUCCCUCAACCUGGUUGGCAAUCAGGUGGCGAGUGUAAGUGCACAAGGGAGCUUGACUGUGAGACUGACAAGUCGAGCAGGGACGAAAGUCGGGACUAGUGAUCCGGCAGUGGCUUGUGGAAGCGCUGUCGCUCAACGGAUAAAAGGUACCUCGGGGAUAACAGGCUGAUCUUGCCCAAGAGUCCAUAUCGACGGCAUGGUUUGGCACCUCGAUGUCGGCUCGUCGCAUCCUGGGGCUGGAGUAGGUCCCAAGGGUUGGGCUGUUCGCCCAUUAAAGCGGUACGCGAGCUGGGUUUAGAACGUCGUGAGACAGUUCGGUCCCUAUCCGCUGCGCGCGCAGGAAAUUUGAGAAGAUCUAUCCCUAGUACGAGAGGACCGGGAUGGACGAACCUCUGGUGUGUCAGUUGUUCCGCCAGGAGCACCGCUGAUUAGCUACGUUCGGAACGGAUAACCGCUGAAAGCAUCUAAGCGGGAAGCCGGCUUCGAGAUGAGAUUUCCAUCCCUUCGGGGGAGAGGCUCCCAGCCAGACGACUGGGUUGAUAGGCCGGAUGUGGAAGACAGGACUAAAGACUGUCGGAGCUGACCGGUACUAAUAAGCCGAUAACUUGAUAA